GAGACAGAGACGGUUAUGAACUCUCUUUAAACGCUCGUGUCUGAUGAUACUGAGUUAGUGGUUAGUCAACUUUACUAAUACAGGGAGAACUGAAGGCCAGAUGGAGUGAAAAACGAUUUCAUCUGCAUCAGGAGGAAAUGAGGACAUCUCCACAUCGCUCAACUCUUCUCUGAUUAAACAGCUUUUAGAUUGAGUGACUUGUCGUCACCACCGCUGCAGUUAAACCAGGUAACAGCUGGCGUUCUGUUGUUCUGGAAUGCUGAUGACCCAUCAAUAAAUCACCACACACAUAAAUAGUCCAGGUCAACACCAAGGACAAACCUGCUCUGGUUACUGGGAAAACUGGGGAUGUGCACCACAACACAUUUUGGGCGCUUUCACUGUAGAUAUCUAAUGCCAUAGUCUAAAAUGUUUGGUUGGUGUUAAAGUGUUUUUCUGAACUCCAGAAUGGAGUUGAACUUGAGUUCGAACCAAAUAAUCAAACCCAAGCAUACAAACAGCUUUAAGGUCCCACAAAGAACUAAAUGAAAAAUAGCUUUACUCAAGAAAGGCCAAACACCCUCAAACAAACAGGUGAAAAGAUGGUAUGGAGUCUCUCACAUCAACACAACACUCCAUAAUUCAGUUGAAAAUAUCUUGAAUUUGAAAUCUGACAAGUUUGAGCUCAAUCUAACUUGAAAGUGUCCCAUUAUGGAGUCUAAAAAAGGCCAUUGCCAUCCCCAAACAUUUUCAAAAGUAAGGGUGUCAAAAGUAGGGCUCUCAAGGGUUAUUAAAUGGUGGAAAACCAUUUGGUGUUGGAAUUACAUGAAUCUCAACUUGGUUAAAGAAGUUUAAGUUGAUACAAUAGUUUCACACUGUCAUGUAUCCUCGUUUUAAAAGCUCAGAUUGUUUUGUGCUCAGUAAAAAGGGUUUGAAACAGA